CCUCCGAGCAGACGACUUCAAAUAUGUUUUUCUUUGCGGUACUCGUCGCUUGCUCUCUAUUCAUUAACGAUGCUCAACUAGAAUCCUACAAACGCGACUAUGAAAACUUCAGUUUCCCCAGAAAUAAAAAGAUCGUAGCCAUCGAUUAUGAUUGUGAAACUUACUGUAAGUGUCCACAAGGACCACCCAAUAGAUCUUCUGACCAAGACAUCGAAAUAUUUAGCACGUUACGGAAGCCAAAGGAAGAAAAAUACACUAGCGAUAAAUUUCCGAAACGAACCGAUGUAACGUCUCCGCAGGAGAUUGAGGCAGUAUAUAGCAGCUGGCGGAGAGGUGGACUUAAUUUUGAUAACCCUAUUAUACGAAAAGUAUUUGGUCGUGCGUAUUCUACUCCAUCGAUAUUUGACGAGAAUAAAGCAACUA